rnacentral:rRNA from 1 species
CUACGGAGGGGGUUAGCGUUGUUCAGAAUUACUGGGCGUAAAGCGUACGUAGGCGGACUGGAAAGUUGGGGGUGAAAUCCCGGGGCUCAACCCCGGAACUGCCUCCAAAACUUCCAAUCUAGAGAUCGAGAGAGGUGAGUGGAAUUCCAAGUGUAGAGGUGAAAUUCGUAGAUAUUUGGAGGAACACCAGUGGCGAAGGCGGCUCACUGGCUCGAUACUGACGCUGAGGGACGAAAGCGUGGGGAGCAAACAGGAUUAGAAACCCUAGUAGUCC